rnacentral:lncRNA from 1 species
CCCAAACUGAGCUCCUCAAAACGUGGCUUCCUCGUUUUUCAUGCCGUUUCCAUCCAACUUGCUCAUCCUGUUUCAGAAGGGCUGGGCCUCGUAAUUAAAAGCUCCACCAAUCUUACGUCUGGCAAAUGUCAUCAAUGACUUUACGAUGACUUUUCUACCUCUACUCAUGCUGAGAUUCUGUAUUCUGUCUGCAGUGAGCACCGUGGCGCAUACACAGAGGCUGCAACUUGAAGCUGACACGUGUGACUCCACCACCUCCAUCCAGAAUGAUGAAUGCUUAAAGAUUCUAUUCCCCUGAAAAGGCACAGUGAUAACAUGACAUACCCA